ACAAGAUGUGAAUUAAAGGACACUUCUGUAGGAGCAGGAAGGAAUGAAGAAAGUCCCAGACAGGACUGGUGAAUAAUUCCUGUGCCUCAGCAUCAGUCCCAGAUUAUAGUGAAUGGGCUCAAGUUCCUCACAGUCUGGUUCUGCUCUGCUAUGGAAAAAAAGAAGAGUGAAAGCAGCACAGGCUUGGAGAUGAGGGUCCCAAAGUGGCCAAUUCCUGCUGAUUGCAGUACUUCCAGCAUCAAGUCCCUACCACGGAGGAUCUUCCUUUGAAGUACAUCUCACUUGGGCCAGAGACAUCAGGAGGAGAAAACUACUAUUUUGUAAAGACCUCUCUGCAGAUUGAAAUGCCUGAAGUGAUGGUGGUGAUAUCCUUCCUGUAAGCUAUGACAUAAAGUGCAAGUGAGUGUCAGUUUCAGAAGAUGAAUGCAGCUUUCA